UGCCAAUAAAAAAAAAAAAAAUACGUGUCGAAUAUCUUUUUCGAGAACUACAUUUAAGCCAAAUUUCGUCAAAAUUUCGACGCUUCGAUUACGUUACGCCUCAUAAGAACGAAAUCGUAAAAAUCAUCAGGCAUUAACGUGCCUGGAAUAUCUUUAAAAUCACCAGCAAAUGCUUCCUCCAAUUUCCCAGUUCUUCGACUCUGACUUUACGACUGAGGCUGUUCCACCACCGGGGAACCGUGCGUGCGUGUUCGCGCGAGCGAAACGCGGAAGCGAAACGAGCCACCAGCGCCGCCAGGGGCGUCUCGUUAUCCGCAAAUUUCCGGCCGAGUUGUUUACCGUUUUAACCAACGACCCUUUAAUUACUUCAACGACCCACGAAGUUGACCCACGUCUAACAGCCACUCCCGUCGAGCGUGUCACGUUAAUGAAGUUUCCUUUUCGUUUCAAGAUUUCUCCCGUCAAUCGGUGAGAAGCGGAUUCCGUCGGCGAAAAGAAAGAAAACAAAACGAAAAAACGCCAGCACUCUUGAGAAGGACGCAGGCGGCUUGCCAGCUUCAAAGAUAUCUAACCCGACGAACCAGAACUUGGAAAAUGAAGUUUGGGAAAUUCAAUCUCGCUCGAGUGACGAACUGUGUGCUCCCAUUGUAAAUUCGCAGGAUAGAACCUCUGCAAGUUCUUCUUUUUUUUCCCCCCCUUCUUUUAGCGUUAGAGGUCUAAGUUUACUAGGCAUUAACGGUCAAAGGAUUGAUUGAAUUCGGAAAGUAAUUCGAUGAUGGUGAAUUAUACAGGGUAAUAAGCUUAAUUGGAACGUUCCUGAAAAGGCGACAGGAGUAAGACAGACAAAGGGGGAAGAAUAAAGAGAGAAAGAGAGAGUUGGUUGGCGUCCGAUCGAAGUUGUCGAGGGGAGGGCGCCACCUUGCCGACCCGUUUCCAUUGGCUCCCGCGGAUCCGGUACGCUCUGUCUUUGCAAAUUCGUUUGUGAAGUCCGAGAAAGAGAAAAGGAAGAAUUUUAGGAACGCACACAAAAAAAAACAUUUUCAUUCGAGGAUAGAAAAAAAAAGAAAAAAAAUACCAGCGAUAAAAAAGCGUUGAUGGAAAGAAGAGAACGCAAAGUGGUACGUCCAUAUUGUGAUGAUAUAGAAGCGAAAGUUGGCCAAACGAAGAUUCUGCAAUUAGAACGAAAAAUAAGAGGUACGUGAGAAUUCCGCGGAAUUGAGUUUCCAACGGUGACAAAAGGCAACUUCCAACGUUCUUCCAGGGACAGGUUACCUCGUGAAGCGAUGAGAGAGAGAGAGAGAGAGAACAAAAUCUGCCGGUGAAGAAGAGCCCCCCGACAUUUCGGCGUUCACCGACGGAAUAUUUACACUGUGAACAGCCGCGGCACACGCGCGCGCGCACUUUGAUUCUCUCUGACACUAAUUGCGAGCCGCGUCUGGCUGCCUCUUCUCGGCCCCAAAUUAAUUAAUGGCAUACCAAAUGACGAGUCGCGCAGAGAUUCGCCCGUCCCCCCCUCGUUGCGCCGGCGAAAAAGCGAAAUAAUACGGUGUACGAUCGUGCCGCGAAUAUCAAUGCUUCCUUCGUUGUCAUCAAGAAGCGGGGACUCGCGUGCUCGUUAAUGAUGUGCCAUCCUACGUUGUACGAUAUAGCUUUUUAACCACACUUUUUUUCCUUCUCUCUUCUUUUUUUUUUUUUUUUAUUCAUUUUUACAGUCACACAGACGCAGGACAAAUCGUUGCGAUUUAAUCGUCGAGAUGAUCGCUUAAAGCCCGAGCCACUUUUUUGCACGUCAACACAGAGUGAUCCGUUCUGUCAAUAGUUUUGGUUCGUUACGGACAGAGUGGCAACUGAUAUCCGAUACUUUAACGGUAUACGCGAGUACAGACGAUCUGUUUUUGCGUUGAUUAUGUUUUCAGGACAAUCAAUAGGAGAUUUCCUCGAGGAAGGAAUUUUUAAUAUUAUUUGCGAAGCGUGACAACUUCUACGAUGAAACAAACAUAGCGGAAGAGGUAGCCAUGUUUUAUUAACAGACGCAUCAGUUGAACAAAUAUAAUUAUUUAAUGCGUUCAACAAUAAAUUAAAUUCCUAACCAAUAGAUUAAUCGCGUAAAUUGAAUACGUCUACCAUCAAACAUCGCCCCCUGAAAAUCUUCUCUGAAGCGAAUAGAACUCGUGAUCUAUAAAAAUGUUUAACAAUAGCAACAAGAUGGUCAACUAACCAAGAUAUUUAGCCCACAAUUAGUAUUUCAGCAUUUUCCUGCUCGUAAACAUUUCACAAAGUAGCAUCAUUACAAUCCAUAAUCCGAUUCGGUUUAUACAAUAUAUAUAAACCAGGGAAGAACAUUAUUUCUCCGCUUUUGAGUAUUUAACUGCUGUUCAGUUCAGUCACGUAUUCACACGAACCCGGGUGCGUUCGAGCGGAAGCAGAAGAAACGAUCCAACGGUAUUAAUUACGCGCGAUCGUCAGCCACUUGGAGGGAGUAAGAUACACUCGGAGAGUCAAUUGGCUGGUGGCCAAAUGGACUUUUACGUACGCUUCACUUACGCAGCACCUAUUCAAAAUCAAUGAAACAGUUCGCUUAUUGAUUAAUCGUUCGGCAUCGAUCCAGCAGAAACAGGGGUAUCCUACCGAUUGUUACGCGUUUAUGAAGAAUGUGCUCGGAUAUGCGAAAAUAUCUACAUAAUUAUAUGCAAAAAUAUGUAAUUAUAUAACAUUUGGUAGGUAAAACAAUUUUUCAGCCAGAUUCCAUGCCGUAGUCAAGUAACAAUUGAUCGUCAAAAUUAUUUAAAAUUAAAUUGAAUAUUUACAUACACAGGUAUUUAAAUGGUAAAGAUUAAAGUUCUGUAAUAAUGGAUUUAGGGCACGCUAGAGUUAAUACAAAAAAGGAUCGAAGUGGAAAAUUUUUCUAUUUGGUAAAAUCCUCUUGUGAGUGUAGAUCUAAAAACUGUACACGAGGCCAUUAAAUUGUGGCAAACGCAAUGCGGAAGAAUAUGUUGUCACGCGUGCACGUGCAAGCAGAAUGGCAGCCCCCAUUGUCGCGACACGCGAUCGACCUUGAUCCACUUUUUUCUUUCUCAGGUACUUCUGGUUCCUUUCUGUUCGAAGGAAGCACGCGAUAAUAAAUUUCGUAACACGCUAACGAAACGCUCGUGAUCCCUUAAGAUUCGUGACACCAAGUUAUUGACAGACAAGACCCUUUCUUUCAACUUCUGCCAUGUCCUUUCGUCACUCGUACUCGCACAUUGAAAAACUACGUCGUUCUCAGAACGAUUUUAUGUAAACGAAAACAACUUUAUUGUAACAAAAUUCAAUAACUAUCGUC